rnacentral:rRNA from 1 species
GAGUUGGGUCUACCCGAAGGUGGUGCGCCAACCUGCUUGCAGGAGGCAGCCAACCACGGUAGGCUCAGCGACUGGGAUGAAGUCGUAACAAGGUAGCCCUAGGGGAACCUGGGGCUGGAUCACCUCCUUUCUAAGGA